rnacentral:rRNA from 1 species
AGAGUUUGAUCAUGGCUCAGGAUGAACGCUAGCGGCAGGCUUAACACAUGCAAGUCGAGGGGUAGAGGAAGCUUGCUUCCUUGAGACCGGCGCACGGGUGCGUAACGCGUAUGCAAUCUACCUUGUACAGGGGGAUAGCCCAGAGAAAUUUGGAUUAAUACCCCAUAGUGUAAUGAAUAGGCAUCUAUUUAUUACUAAAGUUCCAACGGUACAAGAUGAGCAUGCGUCCCAUUAGCUAGUUGGUGUGGUAACGGCAUACCAAGGCAACGAUGGGUAGGGGUCCUGAGAGGGAGAUCCCCCACACUGGUACUGAGACACGGACCAGACUCCUACGGGAGGCAGCAGUGAGGAAUAUUGGUCAAUGGGCGCAAGCCUGAACCAGCCAUGCCGCGUGCAGGAUGACGGUCCUAUGGAUUGUAAACUGCUUUUGUACAGGAAGAAACACUCCCUCGUGAGGGAGCUUGACGGUACUGUAAGAAUAAGGAUCGGCUAACUCCGUGCCAGCAGCCGCGGUAUACGGAGGAUCCAAGCGUUAUCCGGAAUCAUUGGGUUUAAAGGGUCCGUAGGCGGUUUUAUAAGUCAGUGGUGAAAUCUGGUCGCUCAACGAUCAAACGGCCAUUGAUACUGUAGAACUUGAAUUAUUGGGAAGUAACUAGAAUAUGUAGUGUAGCGGUGAAAUGCUUAGAGAUUACAUGGAAUACCAAUUGCGAAGGCAGGUUACUACCAAUACAUUGACGCUGAUGGACGAAAGCGUGGGGAGCGAACAGGAUUAGAUACCCUGGUAGUCCACGCCGUAAACGAUGGAUACUAGCUGUUCGGAGCAAUCUGAGUGGCUAAGCGAAAGUGAUAAGUAUCCCACCUGGGGAGUACGAACGCAAGUUGAAACUCAAGGAAUUGACGG